UACAGAGGUGCCAAGCGUUGUUCGGAUUUAUUGGGCGUAAAGGGUGCGUAGGCGGUUGUGUAAGUCGGGUGUGAAAUUCCGGAGCCUAACUCCGGAACUGCAUUCGAAACUACACAGCUCGAGGUCUGGAGAGGUGACUGGAAUUCUCGGUGUAGCAGUGAAAUGCGUAGAUAUCGAGAGGAACACCAGAGGCGAAAGCGAGUCACUGGAUAGGGCCUGACGCUGAGGCACGAAAGCUAGGGUAGCAAACGGG
rnacentral:rRNA from 1 species